ACACAGGCCUUUUUCAAGGCCCCAGAAAUGCAUUCACAAGGUCAUUU
rfam:Loxodonta africana unplaced genomic scaffold scaffold_29, whole genome shotgun sequence.